AGUAAGUUUCCCUCACUGAUCAAUAGCUAAAUAUAGAGUAAAAUAUUACUCUAUGAGCUAAAUGAACCUUGAUAAGGUUACCUUAUCAGCAGGUUAUGUAACAGAUAAUUAUAACANGAUAAAUUGAUAAUAUUCCGUUAUGGUGCUGACAUGAGGAAGCCAUCUUGUUUUUCUAACAUUCAACUCUACAAAUUACAAUAUUCUUCGUUUCUACAUGACUAUUGACUACAUACUACAUAGGUAGUACAUUGACCAUUGAGAUAUUGAGAANAUUCUACUUAGUACUUUCUACAANCGUCAAGCAUUGUUCUAAUGUUCUGCGACACAACAAGUCAACAACUGUAUGAUUCAAGUAUUCAAGUCAAAAACUUACUAUUCAACUACUUAAUUCUUUAGUGCUUAAAACUAAAUNCCAAACGUCCGUUUUUAAUAUUUAGUGUAUGAUUCAUUUUCUUGCAAUGGUUAACGAUUAAAUUUACUAACUUGUCUGUGCCCUUUGGUCUUUUGGCCCUCGUGGCUCACCGGCUUGUACUCAAUUUUCUUUAACAUAAGCCAUUUCUCAACGUCGCCCGUUAUUGAAACAACACGUAAUACAUCUAACAUAUCCAUUAUUAUCUGAAAUCAUAACUCUUAAGGUUAUACUAACUGCUGUAUAUGUUGUGAAUAAUUAGUUUAAAUAUUC
rnacentral:misc_RNA from 1 species